rnacentral:rRNA from 1 species
AGUGAACGCUGGCGGUAGGCCUAACACAUGCCAGUCGAACGGCAGCACAGUAAGAGCUUGCUCUUACGGGUGGCGAGUGGCGGACGGGUGAGGAAUACAUCGGAAUCUACUUUUUCGUGGGGGAUAACGUAGGGACACUUACGCUAAUACCGCAUACGACCUACGGGUGAAAGCAUGGGAUCUUCGGACCUUGCGCGAUUGAAUGAGCCGAUGUCGGAUUAGCUAGUUGGCGGGGUAAAGGCCCACCAAGGCGACGAUCCGUAGCUGGUCUGAGAGGAUGAUCAGCCACACUGGAACUGAGACACGGUCCAGACUCCUACGGGAGGCAGCAGUGGGGAAUAUUGGACAAUGGGCGCAAGCCUGAUCCAGCCAUACCGCGUGGGUGAAGAAGGCCUUCGGGUUGUAAAGCCCUUUUGUUGGGAAAGAAAAGCAGCAGGUUAAUACCCCGCUGUUCUGACGGUACCCAAAGAAUAAGCACCGGCUAACUUCGUG